AGCUGCUUCUUCAAUUGCAUGUCUUCUUGCGGAAGGGAAACGGAUCGGCCAAGGCGGAAGAAGAAGGGGAGACAGUUGGAAGUUGGCUGGUGACUCUUCAAAGAUACAUUCCAAUCAAAGAGAUUCUAAUUUAAUAUGAUGGUCUCAAGAGGGAAGAUGACACAGUUCUCUUUUGAAGAUGAUGCUAUUUCAGAAUCCACACUCCCUCUGCAUCAACUCCAACUUUUGAGAUUUCUACAUUGGAGGGGAUGACGAUAAGAUUAAGCCUACAUAUAAAGACGUAAAUGUAGUAGUGUUUCUAGAGUUUGUUUAAGGAUUCAGUGGGCAAAUUUAAAAAUAUUAAAACUAAAAGCUCAUUUAAAAGGGCUGUUUUCUUGCUA